AAAUCUUUAGAUGUUGAAUAUAUGGGGCAACUACUUCGAAGGAACAAUCACCGCCAAAUGGACCCCAAUCUCCAUCAGGAUGGGCAUGAUCAAUCAAUUGCAGACUCCUACAUUUUGGAGAAGUUAUAUGUAAGCGAUGAAAACCACAAAACUCACAUAGCUUCAACGAUUCCAACUGAGGACAAUUUGUUACUAUUUGUUCAACAUGUUCGUCCCGAAGAAACAAAUAGGUUAGUGUCAAA
rnacentral:misc_RNA from 1 species